UAUUUUUAAAAACUUUUUAAAAUAUCUUUUAAUAAUUUAUAAAAUUGAAUGUAUUAUUAUUUAAAAAUAAAUACAAAAGUUUGUUCAAGUGUUAAUCUGGGUAUGUUCAUUUCUGUGAAAAUUUUAAUAAAAACUCAUUAUUUAUCUUAAUUUUGAUUAGUAAACCUGAAAGUUUCUAUAAUUUUCUCUGUUUGAUUUUUAAGUGACAUAUCUUUCUUGUGGUUUGGUGGGAAUGACGACCUUUGGCGUGGUCAUCCCGAAGUGUGUUAUGCUAGGUUAUGGUUGGAUUUGAUAUCUCCAGGAACGAGCAUGGUGUCAACAGUCUUGUGGUUUCCAGUCCUCUAUCUUCUCUCUCCUUCCACUUCUUUUCCAAAGUCCUUUCAUAGCUGCCUUCUUGAGGUUUCUUUAUCACCUCAAGUUUCUUUUUUUCUCUUGAGUUCUAAUGGCAUAAUUUUGAUGCGGGUUAUCUUCUUUUUUUUUUUUUUUUUGUAAUUUGGUUGUGAGGAGGAGAUCUUGCACAUGCAGAGACGGAAGGAUGAAUGGCACCAUGGAAGAGAUCAAAUCAAAUGACUCUGGAACAACUGCUUCUCUAGAAACCACAGGCAGCAAAGGCCAACAAAUGUAUAGCAACAGAAACUAAAAUAAAUUACAUUUCAUGAUCCAAUUUCUUUA